UUCCUCUGUUGCUUGCUUCAUCAAAGUGUGCAAACUGAGAGUGCCACAGAAAAUACCAGGAAGAUGGAAGUUACAAUCUUCUGAAGGCAUCAGGAACACUGAUUACCAAGCCAUCAAAUAUUACAGGCAAAGAACUGAAAUUUGAAUCAAAGCCCACAUCACUCUACUUAAUCUUCUUUCAACAACCAACAAGCAAGAAAUUUUA